rnacentral:lncRNA from 1 species
CAUGUGGAAGUUCUCAGGCUAGGGGUUGAAUCAGAGCUUCAGCUGCUGACCUACGUCACAGCUACAGCAACGUGGGAUCCAAUCUGCGUCUCCAACCCACACAACUUACAGCAAUGCCGGAUCCUUAACACACUGAGUGAGGCCAGGGAUCAAACCCUCGUCCACAUGGAUAUUAGUUGGGUUGGUUUCUGCUGAGCCACAAUGGGAACUCCUCUGAUGCAGUUCUGAGCAUAUUGUGUGGUCCUUGUCCGGGUCCAGUUCUGUCCCCACAAAAGACCAGAGGAUCUCCCCCAAGAGCAGGAAAUGAUCUGAUUCAUCCCUGGAGUGGCAUCGCUCAGCACAGGGCUGGAUACAAGAGGGAGGAGGUUGAUAAAUAUCUGCACCUCUGCCUUUCUAGAUGAACUGACUGGACUUGGAUGUCUGAUUAUGGUAGCUGGCUUCCUGCUGGAGAUGGGGAAGAGAGAACAAUAUUUAAGGGGAGUUAUGUUCAUGGCAAGUUAUGUUUAAAGAAUGCUUUCAUUUAGGUGCCUCCAAAAGCAAACGCUGGGAGGAGUUCCCGUCAUGGCACAGUGGUUAAUGAAUCCGACUAGGAACCAGGAGGUUGCAAGUUCGAUCCCUGGCCUUGCUCAGUGGCUUAAGGAUCCGGCGUUGCCGUGAGCUGUGGUGUAGGUUGCAGACGCGGCUCGGAUCCCGCGUUGCUGUGGCUGUGGUGUAGGCCAGCGGCUAGAACUCCGAUUUGACCCCUAGUCUGGGAACAUCCAUAUGCCCUGGGAGCAGCCCUAGAAAAGGCAAAAAGACAAAAAAAAAAGCGCAAACGCUGGGAGUUCCCACUGUGGCUUAUUGGGUUAUGAACCCAACUAGUAUUCACGAGGAUGUGGGUCCCAUACUUGGCUUCACUCAGUGGGUUCAGGAUCCAGCAUGACCGUGACCUGUGGUGUAGGUCUCAGACACAGCUUAGAUUUGGCAUUGCUGUGACUGUGGUGUAGGCUGGCAGCUGCAGCUCUGAUUUGACCCCUAGCCUGGGAACCUCCAUAUGCCAUGGGUGUGACCCUAAAAAGACCCCAAAAAAAGUUUACCAAGGAGCAAUCCCAGUGGGACCCUCUGAGACACUGAAAACUCACCUAAGAAUUGACCCCCAAGGAUCUCUAACUGGUUAGAGGGUACAGAACCUCUCCACCCCCCACCCCAGGCCUGCUGGGCAUGGGAGCCCCCCACCCUCCCAGAGAGCACCCUCCGAAAGAAGCAUAGGGAGCAGCUGGGGAGACUGAGCAUCUGGGAACCAUCUAGAGAAGACUUCUCGGGUGGACCAGGGGGAUACGGGCACGCACAGCAUCUGCUUCAGAGGGUGAUGUAUUUGAAGUGCCUGAGAGAAAUCCAGGGGGCAAGUAGCAGAAGAUACACUGGGGUUGCAGGCACCGAUCCUUGUGACCUGCAAAGCCCUUCGUGCUGUGGCACCUGCUUCCUCUUUGACCUCCGUUCCUACUUCUCUCUCCCUUGCUGGCGCUCAUCAGCCGCUGGCCUUCCUUCUUUUCUUCCAAUACGCCAAGCUCUUUCCUACCCCCUGGCCUUUGCACUUGCUAUUGCCCCUACCUAGAUGCUGUCCUCAGCUCUUUGCUUGCCUGGCUCUUUCCUCAACCUUCAAAGUUUCAACAUAGACAUUACACAGUGUCAGAGGCCUUCUCCGACUGUCUGGUUCAAGUACCCUCCCACCCCCCACCUUCUCCAGCUUCAGUCCUUUAUUUUUUUCCUUCUCACCUUCCCUCCUUCCCUUCCCUCCUCAUUCUUUCCUUCAUUAGCAAACUUUUGUCCCCUUUUAUCUUUUUACAGCCCUGCAGCAUGUGGAGGUUCCCAGGCUAGGAGUCCAAUUGGAGCCGUAGCUAUCAGCCUGCGCCACAACCACAUCAACGCUGAAUCCAAGCUAUGACUGGGACCUACGCCAUAGCUCACAGCAAUGCGGGAUCCUUAACCCACUGAGCGAGGUCAGGGAUCGAACCCAUAACCUCUUGGACACUAUGUCAGGUUCUUAACCCACUGAGCCACAAUGGGAAUUCCUCAUUAAUAUUGAUGGAGUGCUUACCAUGUGCUAGACAGCCUCCUAGACACAGGACACAUAAUGGUCUGCAAAACAAAUGUGUCAUCUGGCAAACAGGCUCCCAGGAGCUUGCUUGUGUUUCAAAAAUAAACAAGCAACAAAGACCUAUUUGCAAUAGUGAUAAGUGAGGGCCUAGGGAAGUGCUGAGGGUGGAAAUAAGGCAGAAGAUCCAGCUUUACCGAGACUGUCACCAAGUCCCCAUUGCAGCAUCACACUUGUCACAGUGUGCGUUUCAUCUGUCUCCCCUCCUAGACCACAAGGCGAUGGUCUUCCCAGGACCUGGCAUGGAGCCUGGCACAGUACGUGCUCAAUAAGUGGUAACUUGGUAAAUGAAUGACUUGAGACUGGAGGUGGUUACAAGCCAAGGGGUGGACGGCGAUCCCCAGGGAGAAUAUAAAGAUGAGGAAGAGCAGGUCUAAGGAGACCCAAGGAGAGGAGACUCCAAGACAAAAGGAUCUGGGGCUCUGCCUACAGCCAGAGCAGAGAACUUCACCUUUGUCCCUUGGACACACAUAUUCUCUUUGGCUGUUAGCUCCUCCUUGAGCUGGAAGGGUCUCUGAGGAUUCACUGCUUCCAGCCUCAAAGGUCCCUAUAAUUAGGACCCAGGAGUCCAAGCCCUCUCCCAAGGGUACUUCAAGGUCCAAAAUACCAGUUCUGGGGUUUAGAAGGGCCCUGAGGCUUCAGGCUAAAGUUCUCCUUGCCUAAGAACCUCUGGCCCCACAGUUCUCUGCUGGGGCUUGGCUCAGGUGUCACCUCCCCCAGGAAGCCGUCCUUGACUUCCAGUC